CUGCAACUGACGCAAACGUGCCAGUUGGCCUGCUCGCCAGGGUCCUGUCCUUCGUGCGUGUGAUCCGCAGCUCCUCAUCUGGGCUGUGGUGCUGCCGUGCAGUCGGCAUCGGCCGCGUGCCCAUUUCACGCAGCACAGGUGUCAAGUCUGGACAGUGACUUGCUCCACAGGUCACCUGGAUUCUCCCAAACAAGCUUUGAUGGGGACGGGUCCUUUCGGCGGGAUCGCGAAGGGAGAGACCUGUCUGUCACCAUCUGCCUCCGCGGCCCGGGCGAGGACAGGCUUAGCCCAGCCUUGGCCACAAGGCCAGAUGCAGGAAGGAGCCCGGGUCCUGCGAGCGGGCGGAGGCGAAGUAAAGUAAAGGCCGGUAAGGACGCGCACGUGUUCCCUGCGCACUGGGACGCAGCUCUGCAAAAUACCCCAGGCUUGCACCGGGCGCGGGCGUGAUUGGUGAGCGCACCUCAUGCAGCGAGAGGUUCAGAACAUCGUACGUUUUCCCCUCCCGCCUUUCCUUCCCACCCCAU
rnacentral:lncRNA from 1 species